CCGGUUGAUCCCGCCGGACCUGACUGCUAUCGGAUUGAUACUAAGCCAUGCGAGUCAUUGUAGCAAUACAAGGCAGACGGCUCAGUAACGCGUAGUCAACCUAACCUAUGGACGGGAAUAACCUCGGGAAACUGAGAAUAAUGCCCGAUAGAACACUAUAUCUGGAAUGGUUUGUGUUCCAAAUGAUUUAUCGCCGUAGGAUGGGACUGCGGCCUAUCAGUUUGUUGGUGAGGUAAUGGCCCACCAAGACUAUUACAGGUACGGGCUCUGAGAGGAGUAGCCCGGAGAUGGGUACUGAGACACGGACCCAGGCCCUAUGGGGCGCAGCAGGCGAGAAAACUUUGCAAUGUGCGAAAGCACGACAAGGUUAAUCCGAGUGGUUUGUGCUAAACGAACCUUUUGUCGGUCCUAGAAACACCGAUGAAUAAGGGGUGGGCAAGUUCUGGUGUCAGCCGCCGCGGUAAAACCAGCACCUCAAGUGGUCAGGAUGAUUAUUGGGCCUAAAGCAUCCGUAGCCGGCGCUGUAAGUUUUCGGUUAAAUCUGUACGCUCAACGUACAGGCUGCCGGGAAUACUGCAGCGCUAGGGAGUGGGAGAGGUAGACGGUACUCGGUAGGAAGGGGUAAAAUCCUUUGAUCUAUUGAUGACCACCUGUGGCGAAGGCGGUCUACCAGAACACGUCCGACGGUGAGGGAUGAAAGCUGGGGGAGCAAACCGGAUUAGAUACCCGGGUAGUCCCAGCUGUAAACUAUGCAAACUCAGUGAUGCAUUGGCUUGUGGCCAAUGCAGUGCUGCAGGGAAGCCGUUAAGUUUGCCGCCUGGGAAGUACGUACGCAAGUAUGAAACUUAAAGGAAUUGGCGGGGGAGCACCACAAGGGGUGAAGCCUGCGGUUCAAUUGGAGUCAACGCCGGGAA
rnacentral:rRNA from 1 species